UACGUAGGGACCAAGCGUUUGUCCGGAUUUACUGGGUGUAAAGGGUGCGCAGGCGGACUGGUUAGUCUGGGGUGAAAUCUCAUCGCUUAACGGUGAAACUGCCUUAGAUACUGCCAGUCUUGGAUAAGCGAGAGGUUCGUGGAAUUCCGAGUGUAGCAGUGAAAUGUGUAGAUAUUCGGAAGAACACCAGUGGCGAAGGCAGCGAACUGGCGCUUUAUCGACGCUCAGGCACGAAAGCAUGGGGAUCAAACAGG
rnacentral:rRNA from 1 species